ACACUUACCUGGCAGGGGAGAUACCCUGAUCACGAAAGUGGUUUUCCCAGGGCGAGGCUUAUCUAUUGCACUUCAGAUGUGCUGACCCCUGCGAUUUUGCCAAAUGUGGGAAACUCGACUGCAUAAUUUGUGGUAGUGGGUGACUGUGUUCGCGCUCUCCCCUG
rnacentral:snRNA from 1 species